CCCACACUUAAAGUGGGGGGCAUUAGGCUCCAUCUUUUGUAGGAAGGUGUAUCCAAGAAUUUGUGAACAUCUUUUUAAACCAGCACAUUAGCUGUCAUUAGAAUUUGAAGAAAUGCUUGAUUUGCUAUUUGGCUCAAGGAGCAGAAGAGGACAGAGGAAGUUACAGUGCAUUUCCAUUUCUUGUCCAAUUUCCAGUCCCAUGUCAGUAGAGCUGAACCUUGGAUGGCCUAGCAACAUCUCUUCGGAGGUCUGCUUGGCAGAGAGAAGGAAGGAGCUUGUGUUGGAAAACAGCAUUCUGCAGCUCUCAGCCCACAGCUGUCCAUCCCCUCUGACCCCUGUCAGUUCUACAAUGGGGAGAACAAGAUAAGGAAUACUCCCCUUCUCAUCAAAAAGACAAGAAUUUUAUAUAUAGCAGGCACCACACAGUGCCUCCUUGGCCAACAUCCAGGCUGCCUAGAGGAAUUUGUCUACAACAAAACAAAUAAAAGCUGUCCUGUGACUCAAACAGCGGGUGGUCUAAGUCCACUACACAGCAGCUUCUCUAU
rnacentral:lncRNA from 1 species